rnacentral:rRNA from 1 species
GAGCAAACAGGAUUAGAUACCUGGUAGUCACGCUGUAAACGAUGUCGAUUUGGAGUUUGGGGGCAUGACCCUUGGGCUCCGGAGCUAACGCGUUAAAUCGACCGCUGGGGAGUACGGCCGCAAGGUUAAAACUCAAAUGAAUUGACGGGGGCCCGCACAAGCGGUGGAGCAUGUGGUUUAAUUCGAUGCAACGCGAAGAACCUUACCUGGUCUUGACAUCCAUAGAAUCUUUCAGAGAUGAGGGAGUGCCUUCGGGAGCUAUGAGACAGGUGCUGCAUGGCUGUCGUCAGCUCGUGUUGUGGAAUGUUGGGUUAAGUCCCGCAACGAGCGCAACCCCUAUCCUUUGUUGCCAGCACGUAAUGGUGGGAACUCAAAGGAGACUGCCGUUGAUAAAGCGGAGGAAGGUGGGGACGACGUCAAGUCAUCAUGGCCCUUACGACCAGGGCUACACACGUGCUACAAUGGCGUAUACAAAGGGAUGCGAAGGUGCGAACUGGAGCGGACCUCACAAAGUACGUCUAAGUCCGGAUUGGAGUCUGCAACUCGACUCCAUGAAGUCGGAAUCGCUAGUAAUCGUGAAUCAGAAUGUCACGGUGAAUACGUUCCCGGGCCUUGUACACACCGCCCGUCACACCAUGGGAGUGGGUUGCACCAGAAGUAGAUAGCUUAACCUUCGGGAGGGCGUUUACCACGGUGUGGUUCAUGACUGGGGUGAAGUCGUAACAAGGUAACCA